GUUAAUGUAGCUUAAUAUUGACCAAAGCAAGACACUGAAAAUGUCUAGAUGAGUUACAUAACUCCAUGAACA
rnacentral:tRNA from 1 species